rnacentral:lncRNA from 10 species
GUUUUAAAUGCACCAAUCAGCACUAUAAAAACGCACCAAUUGGCGCUCUGUGUCUAGCUAAAGAUUUGUAAACGCACCAAUCAGCACUCUGUAAAAAUGGACCAAUCAGUGCUCUAUAAAAUGGACCAAUCAGCAGGAAGUGGGAAGGGCCAAAUAAGUGAAUAAAAGCUGGCCACUGGAGCCAGCAGCAGCAACCUCCUGGGGGCCCCUUCCACGUUGUAGAAGCCUUUUUCUUUUGCUGUUUGCAAUAAAUCUUGGUGCUGCUCACUCUUUGGGUCCACACAGUCUUUAUGAGCUGUAACACUCACUACGAAGGUCUGCAUCUUCAUUCCUGAAGUCUGCCAGACCACGAACCCAUCAGGAGGAAUGAACAACUGUGGACGCGCCACCUUUAAGAGCUGUAACACUCACUGCGAAGGUUUGCAGCUUCACUCCUGAAGUCAGCAAGACUACAAACCCACUGGGAUGAACGAACAACUCUGGACGUACCACCUUUAUGAACUGUAACACUCACUGCGAAGGUCUGCAGCUUCACUCCUGAAGUCAGCGAGACCACGAACCCACCAGAAGGAAGAAACUCCAGACACGUCUGAACAUCAGAAGGAACAAACUCCGGACACACCAUCUUUAAGAACUGUAACACUCACGGCGAGGGUCUGCAGCUUCAUUCUUGAAGUCAGCAAGACCAAGAACCCACCAAUUCUGGACACAGCAUGCCGAUCACUUUUAAGGCCCUCAUGGAUCCAUUACUGAGAUCAGCCAUUACUCCUACCCACCAAAGAGAUUUCUAACCACAGAUUGGAAGCUACAUAUCAGAGUUUUAAAGUUUUAUAUCAUAAACAUUCUUCAACUCUCCUGACCUGGCUGGGUUAGAUCCCCACCUUCAACAAUGGUUUAAGAAUUAUGUCUUCCAUAAAUGUUGACAACCAUGCACAGAGGCAUCAUUCCCACCUACCCAAGAUCUCUAGACGUCAGCAUUCCUAAAUUCCUGCCUCAUCUCUUAGAGGAUUCACAGUCAGCCCCACUUAGUGUUGCAUCACCCUGCAGGGAGCCUCAUCAUCUUCCUAGAAAACCAGCCAACCUAGCAUCUCAACUUCCCACACGAAACAAACAAACGAAAACCUCACCUUUCAUAAAUGCAUCCAGAACUUUGCAAUCAUAAAAUCUAGAAACUAUUUUGCAUUCAACAGACAUCUAGAGUUGUAUUAUGUAGUUGAAUAAUAUUUUUACUUUGAAUUACCUAUGGAGGACACAAUAAAUUUCUGAUUUGAGGGGACAUAAAGUCUUAAUGUAGUCUGAUAUGUUUCUAAUAUGAGGAGAAAUAAAGUCUUAAUCUGGCCCUGGUUUCAUGUUCCAACAUUCCAUGCUUCCUUUUCUUGAUGUCUGGAUUUGGACUACUCCUAAAUUGCCCUUAAAGAGCCAUUACACCAAUAAUAGUUACUUAUUUUUUUUUAGUGUCUACUAUCUGCCAGACAACAUGUAUGUGUUUUACAUACAUUUUCUGUAAUUCUUACAAUGCUUCAUGAUGGCUCAAUAUUGCCCAACUAGUAAAUGCCUGAGCUGUAUCCUACCUCAGCUCAUUGCUUCCACGGUUUCUGCCUUCUGCUGUACGAUGCUACCACACAUUGUGAGAAAAUAGCCUUCCCAUUGUUCGCAUCCAGCAGAUGACUACAAAAUUAAACUAUUUCUUUCAGCACAAACAUGUUUAGAGUUGUUUGGCAAAUAAUAAAGGAAGAACCUUUUACUCUGAAAUCUUAAUUCACAUCUAUGCAUAAUGGAUGUUAACUCCGAAGCCAUGUAUUAUUUAAUAAUUAUCUAGUUAUAUCACUUUGUGUAUCAAUUUAUCAAGUCUGGAAUAAAGAAAUGGC